UCGGGAUGUAGAAAUAAAGUGAACAGCACUUUUGUGCUUCACGCUAAUUCCAAGUGCCAACACACUUGAUAAUUCGAGAACUAAGUGAAAAGGUAAAUCUAGUGGCGGACGGGUGAGUAACGCGUGAACAAUCUGCCCUGUACAGCGGAAUAGCCUCGGGAAACCGGGAUUAAAACCGCAUAAUACUUAAGUAUCGCAUGAUGCAUAAGUCAAAUUGAUUAAGAGGUAUAGGAUGAGUUCGCGUCUGAUUAGCUAGUUGGCGGGGUAAUAGCCCACCAAGGCGACGAUCAGUAGCCGGCCUGAGAGGGUGAACGGCCACACUGGAACUGAGACACGGUCCAGACUCCUACGGGAGGCAGCAGUGGGGAAUAUUGCACAAUGGAGGGAACUCUGAUGCAGCGACGCCGCGUGAGUGAAGAAGGUCUUCGGAUCGUAAAACUCUGUCCUUGGUGAAGAUAAUGACGGUAACCAAGGAGGAAGCCCCGGCUAACUACGUGCCAGCAGCCGCGGUAAUACGUAGGGGGCUAGCGUUGUCCGGAUUUACUGGGCGUAAAGGGUGAGUAGGCGGUUAUGUAUGUCAGAUGUAAAAGGCGCGGGCUUAACUUGCGUUAGCAUUUGAAACUGCAUAACUUGAGUGCAGGAGAGGUAAGCGGAAUUCCUAGUGUAGCGGUGAAAUGCGUAGAUAUUAGGAGGAACACCGGUGGCGAAGGCGGCUUACUGGACUGUAACUGACGCUGAGUCACGAAAGCGUGGGUAGCAAACAGGAUUAGAUACCCUGGUAGUCCACGCUGUAAACGAUGAGUGCUAGGUGUUGGGUAGCGAUACUCAGUGCCGGAGUAAACACAAUAAGCACUCCGCCUGGGGAGUACGGUCGCAAGACUGAAACUCAAAGGAAUUGACGGGGGCCCGCACAAGCAGUGGAGCGUGUGGUUUAAUUCGAGGCAACGCGCAGAACCUUACCAGGGUUUGACAUCAUACCGACGUCUGUAGAAACACAGAUUUCCGCUUAGGCGGACGGUAUGACAGGUGUUGCAUGGUUGUCGUCAGCUCGUGUCGUGAGAUGUUGGGUUAAGUCCCGCAACGAGCGCAACCCCUAUCCAAUGUUGCCAACAGGUAAAGCUGGGGACUCAUUGGAGACUGCCGGAGACGAUCUGGAGGAAGGUGGGGAUGAGGUCAAAUCAUCAUGGCCCUUAAGCCCUGGGCUACACACGCGCUACAAUGGCCGGUACAACGGGCAGCGAAGGAGCGAUCCGGAGCGAAUCCCAAAAAGCCGGCCCCAGUUGGAAUCGCAGGCUGCAACUCGCCUGCGUGAACAUGGAAUUGCUAGUAAUCGCGAAUCAGCUACGUCGCGGUGAAUACGUUCCCGGGCCU
rnacentral:rRNA from 1 species